UAGGGAAUGUUAGAAAUGGACGAAAGUCUGAUCUAGCAACACCGCGUGUGCGAAGAAGGCCUUCGGGUUGUAAAGCACUUUUUGGAAGGUUUAGGAAGGAAUGUACUUCCAGAAUAAGUCUCGGCUAACUACGUGCCAGCAGCCGCGGUAACACGUAGGAGGCAAACGUUAUCCGGAUUUACUGGGCGUAAAGCGCGUGUAGGUGGUUCUGUAAGUAGGCGUGAAAGCUCCUGGCUCAACUGGGAGAGGCCGUUCUAAACUGCAGAGCUAGAGGAUGGUAGAGGGAGGUGGAAUUCCGGGUGUAGCGGUGGAAUGCGCAGAUAUCCGGAGGAACACCAGUGGCGAAAGCGGCCUCCUGGACCAUUCCUGACACUCAGACGCGAAAGCUAGGGUAGCAAACGG
rnacentral:rRNA from 1 species